ensembl:lncRNA
AUGUAGAGAAAGGGGCGGAGCUACGAUGACAGGGCUCUACGAUGCGCUCCAGAAGUUUGUGGAAAUUUUCGAUAUCUUGAAUAGUCUAGAUAUAGUUACAAUUUUUCACCAUUCCAAGGCCACUAUUUCUAUUUAGGAAAAUUUGUGACUCAAAGUCUUAUUGCUUCCAUUGAAGCUGUUUUUAUAUAUAAGAUUUAUGAGGUACUUUUCAAUGUUUUUUGGUCAGGCUUUUGGACCAGACGCUACACAGACCAGACUGCCAUCACUGAAUGUAAAUAAUGGUUGUAUUGUUUUAGUUAUGAUGUAACGUGUUUUAAUCAUUUCUCCUUUCAUGUUUAUUCAAAAUUUACAAGUGUUGGAUUUGAACUCAAGACUCAUUAUCAUUAUCAACUACGGUACACGGUGUAUAUAGUACAGUAUACAGUCAUGGCCAAAAGUUUGCGAUCACUAUACAUUUGUUCAUGAAAACGGCUGUAGAGCAUGCCAACAACUGUCCAUAUGCAAAUCUACGCCCUUAUUUAUUUUCCUAUUAUUACAUUUACUUAUCUAUCUAUCAUAGAUCGAUAGAUAAGUAAAUGUAAUAAUAGGAAAAUAAAUAAAGGAAUAAAUGACUUGAUAAAACAAAUAUAAAGAAUUUUAAUUUAUUUUAGCAUGCCUUUUUUCCUUCGUUUAUUAUUUUUUGUGUUUAUUUUAUUAAUUUAUUUUAUUAAUUCUUUUUAACUUUUAUGUAUUUUUCCAUUUCUUUUAUAUUUAUUAUUUAUAUUCAUGCGUUCAUUUAUUUUUAUAUUUAUUUAAACUUUUUUUAAAAAAAAAUCUUUUUGCAUUUAUUCUUACAUUUCUGUAUCUUGUAUGAUAAGUAGGUGGGUGGUCUUACCAUCGGUUCAUUGUAGAUUGAAGUUUACGCUCGAUUAGUCUUCGUUUGUUUUGGAGUGACAUCGGGUCGUAGUUCUCGUAUAAACUACGGCGGACACAACUUAGCAAACGAAGUGGAGAGCCAUGCAUCAAAUGACUGUGUUAUUUAGAGUAGAGGUGCUUACUGAUGUUUUAGGACAGCUGUAUGCCCGUAUGCAUGUUGAAGUUCAGCCUGAAUUGUUCGGCUCUCUGCAAAAUAUUGCCCUGCAUAUUCAGGAUCUGUGCGAGUCAGAGGGUGCUACGGUUGAACGUCCAUCUUAUUCACUUCACAUAACUUAUCUCUCACUGCGUCAAACUGUCGCAAACACUGCAAAGUUGUUUGGUGUACAUGAAAGAACAAUCCAGCUCCUAGUAGCCUUAUAGCCAAGGGCGGAGAUUUGCAUAUGGAUGGUAGGGACAUAUCCCUAUCAAUAUUUUGGGAGGGCAGAAUUGUCCCUACCAAUAUUGCGCGAACUCAUUCGUAUUAUCUUUGGAGUGAAGUCAUGUCAAUUCCACAGCAUACUCUCCCAGAAGCUCCAGGAUUUAGGCAUGCUAGCAUUUGAUUGGCUGAAAGGGAUGGGGGCGGGACUAUCUAAAGGCUCACCUUACGUGCAAAUAUCAAGCUGCCAGUGUAGAGUACAGACACGCAGGCGAGGGCUGAUCGGCUGACAAUGCUAACUGAGUUAUCAAGGCUGUCAGCCCAUACCUCAAGCAUGGGUGAAAAAUGUAGUCUUUCAGAUGACUUUACUCCUUUUGCUCUAUUGCCUGCACGGCACAGCAUACAUAAAGUAUUUUUCCUGUGCCAACACAUUUUGUACUUUGUAGAUAUCAUGCCACCGAAAAAACGACGAGACAUCAGGAGCUUUUUUUCCCCCACCCAAAGAGAAACGCAGCAGCAGGCUGAAGUAGAGCAGGAUGAAACAGCUGCGUCUUCAGGGUUUCAGCAUGUGUAGAGCCCUGACCUCAACCCCACUGAACACCUUUGGGAUGAACUGGAACUGGAGCUUCCUGACAUCAACAUCAGCACCUGAUCUCAACCUCACUAACGCUGUUGUAGCUGAAUGAACACGAGUCCCCACGGCCACGCCCCAAAAUCUAGUGGAAAGCCUUCCCAGAAGAGUGGAGCACGUUAUAACAGCGAA